rnacentral:rRNA from 1 species
UACGGGGGGGGCAAGCGUUGUUCGGAAUUACUGGGCGUAAAGGGCUCGUAGGCGGCCAACUAAGUCAGACGUGAAAUCCCUCGGCUUAACCGGGGAACUGCGUCUGAUACUGGAUGGCUUGAAUCCGGGAGAGGGAUGCGGAAUUUCAGGUGUAGCGGUGAAAUGCGUAGAUAUCUGGAGGAACACCAAUGGCGAAGGCAGCUCGCUGGGACGUUACUGACGCUGAGACGCGAAAGCGUGGGGAGCAAACAGG